rnacentral:rRNA from 1 species
GUGGGGAAUCUUGCGCAAUGGGCGAAAGCCUGACGCAGCCAUGCCGCGUGAAUGAUGAAGGUCUUAGGAUUGUAAAAUUCUUUCACCGGGGACGAUAAUGACGGUACCCGGAGAAGAAGCCCCGGCUAACUUCGUGCCAGCAGCCGCGGUAAUACGAAGGGGGCUAGCGUUGCUCGGAAUUACUGGGCGUAAAGGGCGCGUAGGCGGACAGUUUAGUCAGAGGUGAAAGCCCAGGGCUCAACCUUGGAAUUGCCUUUGAUACUGGCUGUCUUGAGUACGGGAGAGGUGAGUGGAACUCCGAGUGUAGAGGUGAAAUUCGUAGAUAUUCGGAAGAACACCAGUGGCGAAGGCGACUCACUGGCCCAAUACUGACGCUGAGGCGCGAAAGCGUGGGGAGCAAACAGGAUUAGAUACCCGAGUAGUCC